GACGAACGCUGGCGGCGGGCUUAACACAUGCAAGUCGAACGAAGCUUGAGGGCUUGCUCUCAAGCUUAGUGGCGCACGGGUGAGUAACACGUAGGCAACCUACCCUUAGCUGGGGAAUAACCAGGGGAAACCCUGGCUAAUACCGCAUAAUGUCAAAGCGUCGCAUGGCGCCUUGAUCAAAGCCCCGGCGGCUGAGGAUGGGCCUGCGUCGGAUUAGCUAGUUGGCGGGGUAACAGCCCACCAAGGCGACGAUCCGUAGCGGGUCUGAGAGGAUGAUCCGCCACACUGGCACUGAGAUACGGGCCAGACUCCUACGGGAGCAGCAGUGAGGAAUAUUGCGCAAUGGAGGCAACUCUGACGCAGCCACGCCGCGUGCAGGAAGACACCCC
rnacentral:rRNA from 1 species